rnacentral:rRNA from 1 species
AAGGUGCUUGCACCUUUCAAGUGAGUGGCGAACGGGUGAGUAACACGUGGACAACCUGCCUCAAGGCUGGGGAUAACAUUUGGAAACAGAUGCUAAUACCGAAUAAAACUCAGUGUCGCAUGACACAAAGUUAAAAGGCGCUUUGGCGUCACCUAGAGAUGGAUCCGCGGUGCAUUAGUUAGUUGGUGGGGUAAAGGCCUACCAAGACAAUGAUGCAUAGCCGAGUUGAGAGACUGAUCGGCCACAUUGGGACUGAGACACGGCCCAAACUCCUACGGGAGGCUGCAGUAGGGAAUCUUCCACAAUGGGCGAAAGCCUGAUGGAGCAACGCCGCGUGUGUGAUGAAGGCUUUCGGGUCGUAAAGCACUGUUGUAUGGGAAGAACAGCUAGAAUAGGGAAUGAUUUUAGUUUGACGGUACCAUACCAGAAAGGGACGGCUAAAUACGUGCCAGCAGCCGCGGUAAUACGUAUGUCCCGAGCGUUAUCCGGAUUUAUUGGGCGUAAAGCGAGCGCAGACGGUUAAUUAAGUCUGAUGUGAAAGCCCGGAGCUCAACUCCGGAAUGGCAUUGGAAACUGGUUAACUUGAGUGCAGUAGAGGUAAGUGGAACUCCAUGUGUAGCGGUGGAAUGCGUAGAUAUAUGGAAGAACACCAGUGGCGAAGGCGGCUUACUGGACUGUAACUGACGUUGAGGCUCGAAAGUGUGGGUAGCAAACAGGAUUAGAUACCCUGGUAGUCCACACC